rnacentral:tRNA from 1 species
GGGGGAGUAGCUCAAUUGGCAAGAGCGGCGGUCUCCAAAACCGUUGGCUGCAGGUUCGAGUCCUGCCUCCUCUG